rnacentral:rRNA from 1 species
UUCGAUCAUGGCUCAGAUUAGACGCUGGCAGGAUGCUUUACAUGCCGGAAGUCGAACAACGCUGGACUUCGGUCUGGUGGCGAGUGGCGAACAGGUGAGUAAUGUAUCGGAACGUGCCUAGUAGCGGGGGAUAACUUCACGCGGCGUAGCUAAUACCACCUGCAUACAUCGGGGGAAAAGCGGGGGACCUUCGGGCUCAUAUAGAAGCGGCCGAUAUCGGAUUAGCUAGUUGGUGCAUUGUAACGGCUGCCGGCGUGUGAUCCGUAGCUGGUUUGGGGACGACCAGCCCUUGCUACGGGACUGAGACACGGCCCAGACUCCUGCAGGAGGCAGCAGUGGGGAAUUUUGGACAAUGGGGGGAAACCCUGAUCCAGCCAUCCCGCGUGUGCGAUGAAGGCCUUCGGGUUGUAAAGCACUGGCGGAAAGCAGCACGGGAUAAUACCCGUGCAAUGAUACCUGCAGAAUAAGCACUGGCUAACUACGUGCCAGCAGCCGCAGUAAUACGUAGGUGCAAGCGUUAAUCAGGUCUGGUAAGCGUGCAUGACGGUUCGGAAAAGAAAAGACGAAAUCCAGAAGCUUAACUUUGGAACUGCAUUUUUAACUACCGAGCUAGAGUGUAUCAGAGGAGGUGGAAUUCCGCAUCUGUAGCAGUGAAAUGCGUAGAUGCUGCGGAGGAACACCGAUGGCGAAAGUGUGCAGCCUCCUGAAUGGUGCUGACGCUCAUGCGAAAAGCGUGGGGGCAGAGCGGGAUUAGAUACCCUGGUAGUCCACGCCCUAAACGAUGUCAACUAGCUGUUGGGGCGCUAGGCGCGCUUAGUGGCGCAGCUAACGCGUGAAGUUGACCGCCUGGGAAGAUACGGUCGCAAGAUUAAAGCUCGAGGUGUGACGGGGACCCGCACAAGCGGUGGAUGAUGUGGAUUAAUUCGAUGCAACGCGAAAAACCUUACCUACCCUUGACAUGUCUGGAAUCCCGAAGAGAUUUGGAGUGCUCGCAAGAGAACCGGAACACAGGUGCUGCAUGGCUGUCGUCAGCUCGUGUCGUGAGAUGUUGGGUUAAGUCCCGCAACGAGCUGUGCAUCAUUAGUUGCUACGAAGGGGCACUCUAAUGAGACUGCCGGUGACAAACCGGAGGAAGGUGGGGAUGACGUCGUCCUCAUGGCCCUUAUGGGUAGGGCUUCACACGUCAUACAAUGGUCGAGACGAAGGUCGCCAACCCGCGAGAGAGCCGUCAAACCCGAUCGUAGUCGGUCUGCAGUCUGCAGCUCGACUGCGUGAAGUCGGAAUCGCUAGUAAUCGCGGAUAGCAUGUCGCGGUGAAUACGUUCGGGUCUUCUUUACCACCGCCCGUCACACCAUGGGAGUAGGUUUUAAGUAGUUAGCCCUAACCGUAGGAGGGCGAUUACCACGGUAGGAUUCAUGACUGGGGUGAAGUCAUGUCGGGCAG